UACGUAGGGGGCAAGCGUUGUCCGGAUUUAUUGGGCGUAAAGAGCGUGUAGGCGGUUUGGUAGGUCCGCUGUGAAAACUCGAGGCUCAACCUCGAGACGCCGGUGGAAACCAUCAGACUAGAGUCCGGAAGAGGAGAGUGGAAUUCCUGGUGUAGCGGUGAAAUGCGCAGAUAUCAGGAAGAACACCCGUGGCUAAGGCGGCUCUCUGGGCAGUAACUGACGCUGAGGAGCGAAAGCGUGGGGAGCGAACAGG
rnacentral:rRNA from 1 species